GAUGAACGCUGGCGGCGUGCCUAAUACAUGCAAGUCGAGCGAACGGACGAGAAGCUUGCUUCUCUGAUGUUAGCGGCGGACGGGUGAGUAACACGUGGAUAACCUACCUAUAAGACUGGGAUAACUUCGGGAAACCGGAGCUAAUACCGGAUAAUAUUUUGAACCGCAUGGUUCAAAAGUGAAAGACGGUCUUGCUGUCACUUAUAGAUGGAUCCGCGCUGCGUUAGCUAGUUGGUAAGGUAACGGCUUACCAAGGCAACGAUGCAUAGCCGACCUGAGAGGGUGAUCGGCCACACUGGAACUGAGACGCGGUCCGGACUCCUACGGGAGGCAGCAGUAGGGAAUCUUCCGCAAUGGGCGAAAGCCUAACGGAGCAACGCCGCGUGAGUGAUGAAGGUCUUCGGAUCGUAAAACUCUGUUAUUAGGGAAGAACAUAUGUGUAAGUAACUGUGCACAUCUUGACGGUACCUAAUCAGAAAGCCACGGCUAACUACGUG
rnacentral:rRNA from 1 species